UACGGGGGGGAGCAAGCGUUGUUCGGAUUUACUGGGCGUAAAGGGCGCGUAGGCGGCAACUCAAGUCAUCUGUGAAAUCUCCGGGCUUAACUCGGAACGGUCAGAUGAUACUGUUUUGCUAGAGUGCAGAAGGGGCAAUCGGAAUUCUUGGUGUAGCGGUGAAAUGCGUAGAUAUCAAGAGGAACACCUGAGGUGAAGACGGGUUGCUGGGCUGAUACUGACGCUGAGGCGCGAAAGCCAGGGGAGCGAACGGG
rnacentral:rRNA from 1 species